rnacentral:ribozyme from 1 species
UAGAAAUGCAUCACUGGUACGGGUACGAAACCGACUCCUCUUGAGGGAUACUUAUGCUCUUCGUAUCCUACUCCUGCUCAAAAUGUCCACGACGUAUAGAACGGUAACAUGUCACUCCACAUAUCUGAGCUUCGGUACAAGGAGAUACCCAACCCCUGAGAAGCGUCUGUACCCAUGUCAGGAUCAGCUGCG